CAAAGCAGAAUCUAUUUCUCAUGUGCCCUGCACUCAGCUGUCAGACUUGCAUGCAAUGCUGUAAAACAGAUCCUGCUGAGGAAAAGCCUGGCUGAUGGGGAGACCUAUAGUUACUAUGCACCUCCUUGAACAUCAGGAGGAGUCAACUGGGAUGACUGGAGGAGACCAUCUCUUUCCCUUGCCCUCUAAGAUCAGGAUUUAUAAGAAAGAAACCUAGGCAAUGAAGAAACUACAGAAAUUUCACCAGGAGCAACACCCACAUGCAGGUUUCUUCAUUCUGCUGGGUGGACUUUGCACAAAGAAGUGUAUCUCCAAGGAGUGAAUUUUUUGGCUCUUUUGUAAUGUGUGUGAAAGGGGACAGCAACAUAUGGGCUUGGCAUACCUCAGGGGAUGACUGUGGGAACCCAGGAACGUUUCAUGCCUGCAGCAAGUGUAGGAAGAAGGGAGGAGGAGAGACCAACCAGCUGCAGUGAGCUGUGUGACUGCACAUAAUUACAUAGCUGCUCACAGGAGCAGAGCAACACCAGAGCAGCUCAGCUGUGCCUAGGUCUUUAUAGCAGU
rnacentral:lncRNA from 14 species